AUAUCUAUGUAUAUAUAAAUAAAUAAAAAUAAUACGAAAUAUACAUGUCCAUGUACAAAAUUACAUAAAUAAUUAUAUAAAUAUACACGUAGACUUCAGCUAUAUAAAUAUGCAUAUAUAUUUAAAUUCUACGUGCGUAUUUAUGUAAUAUUUUUACAUAAGUAAUUUUAUUGAUUGCAAUUUGAGAGACCUGCCUGCCAACCCAGGCCGAAAGUCCAGAGAAUUUAAUUUGCUAGCACUGUAUUUUACCCUUUAACGUUCUACGACUUCCUAAAACCUGUACAUGGGGGGUACUGUUUUACUCGGGAGACUUCGCUGAACACAAAUAUUAGUGAUUCAAAACAGUAAAACAUAUCACAGCGAUGAUAUUGUCAGUGAAAGUGACUUUUUUUGCAUUUUUCACACACAAACAGCACUUUUACUGAUAAUAUAAUUGUUUUGAUACGUUUUCCAGUUUUUCCCGAGUAAAACAGCACCCCACAUGUACAGGUUUUAUCGCAUUUUUGAAAGUUACAGGGUCAAAUAUAUCGGUCAAAUAUUUUUACAUUGAAAAUGGCCAGGUUGGUUACAUUGCCUUUCAGAACGUAUGGUAGCCCAGGAAUGAGAAUUACCCCCAUGAUGGCAUACCAUUUGCAAAAGAAGACAACCCAAGGUAUUGCAAAUGGG